AAAUCCAGUGUGCAAGUCAAUCUGCCAGUUGCACAGCCACGCAGGUCAGCUGUACAGGACAAGUUUGCUGAGCCAAUGCAGAAGGAGCAGAGAGAAUUUCAUGUGCUGUGGAGCCUCCACCAUGCUCAGCACACAUCAGGAACAUUUCACCUGCUCUACAUAACUGAAUUGCAUGAGGACAGAAGACUGACUGCAGGGAGCUGCUGGGUGUAUUAAGGCAUCACAGACAAAGAUGGAAUUCAGGCAACUAGGACCUGCUGACAGCAGAAACAGCUCUACCUCUGCUGUGAGCUUGAAGGUGCUGAUAGGAUUUGGGCUUUCACUCUUCCUUCUGCUUGGCCAUCUUCAGUGAAUAAACAACUCUUAGUCUUUCCUGCUAACAAAUGAGGUCAGCAAGUCAUGAAAAUAUUAAGCACUCCAAGAUCCAGAGCAGAGUGAGAUUGGAUAUACCCUGCCACUUACCAUGGACCAUUGCUACUGUCUGGAAUGUUGUCCAUCUCAUUUUGCACACAGCUUAAAUUCAAAACAAGAUAUCUCUAAGAUCCUCUUGCUAUGGUCAAAAACUUCACAAAUUGAAGAUGUAAAACAGCGUCUGUGCAUUCUCUUCUCUGUUACUGUAUAGAAAGAAAUCAAGCAUGACUGCUUUGAUUUUGGCUAAUCUGUUAGCUUUCAGUCUGAUGGAAUAAUUUCCACUAAGCAAAAACUACUAAAACUUGAC
ensembl:lncRNA